rnacentral:rRNA from 1 species
CAGCCGCCGCGGUAAUACCGGCGGCCCGAGUGGCGGUCACUAUUAUUGGGCUUAAAGCGUCCGUAGCCGGGUUGGGAAGUCCUCCGGGAAAUCUGGCCGCUUAAAGGGCAGAAUGCCGGAGGAUACUCCCCGCCUAGGGAGCGGGAGAGGCCGAGGGGAUUCCCGGGGUAGGGGUGAAAUCCUAUAAUCCCGGGAGGACCACCUGUGGCGAAGGCGCUCGGCUGGAACGCGUCCGACGGGGAGGGACGAAGGCCAGGGGAGCAAACCGGAUUAGAUACCCGGGUAGUCCUGGCUGUAAACGAUGCGGACUUUGUGUCGGACAAGCUAUGAGCUUGUCCGGUGCCGGAGGGAAACCGUUAAGUCCGCCGCCUGGGGAGUACGGCCGCAAGGCUGAAACUUAAAGGAAUUGGCGGG